rnacentral:rRNA from 1 species
AGUGAACGCUGGCGGUAGGCCUAACACAUGCAAGUCGAACGGCAGCACAGUAAGAGCUUGCUCUUACGGGUGGCGAGUGGCGGACGGGUGAGGAAUACAUCGGAAUCUACUUUUUCGUGGGGGAUAACGUAGGGAAACUUACGCUAAUACCGCAUACGACCUACGGGUGAAAGCAGGGGAUCUUCGGACCUUGCGCGAUUGAAUGAGCCGAUGUCGGAUUAGCUAGUUGGCGGGGUAAAGGCCCACCAAGGCGACGAUCCGUAGCUGGUCUGAGAGGAUGAACAGCCACACUGGAACUGAGACACGGUCCAGACUCCUACGGGAGGCAGCAGUGGGGAAGAUUGGACAAUGGGCGCAAGCCUGAUCCAGCCAUACCGCGUGGGUGAAGAAGGCCUUCGGGUUGUAAAGCCCUUUUGUUGGGAAAGAAAAGCAGCAGGUUAAUACCCCGCUGUUCUGACGGUACCCAAAGAAUAAGCACCGGCUAACUUCGUG